rnacentral:snRNA from 1 species
UCGUAGAUCUAAUUAGGAUAAGA